rnacentral:rRNA from 1 species
GAUGAACGCUGGCGGCGUGCCUAAUACAUGCAAGUCGAGCGAACAGACGAGGAGCUUGCUCCUCUGACGUUAGCGGCGGACGGGUGAGUAACACGUGGAUAACCUACCUAUAAGACUGGGAUAACUUCGGGAAACCGGAGCUAAUACCGGAUAAUAUAUUGAACCGCAUGGUUCAAUAGUGAAAGACGGUUUUGCUGUCACUUAUAGAUGGAUCCGCGCCGCAUUAGCUAGUUGGUAAGGUAACGGCUUACCAAGGCAACGAUGCGUAGCCGACCUGAGAGGGUGAUCGGCCACCCUGGAACUGAGACACGGUCCAGACUCCUACGGGAGGCAGCAGUAGGGAAUCUUCCGCAAUGGGCGAAAGCCUGACGGAGCAACGCCGCGUGAGUGAUGAAGGUCUUCGGAGCGUAAAACUCUGUUAUUAGGGAAGAACAAAUGUGUAAGUAACUGUGCACGUCUUGACGGUACCUAAUCAGAAAGCCCCGGCUAACUACGUG